ACUCUUUAUGCAAAACAAAAAGUUCGACUAGUUUGUGAUCCCAGGGGUAUCUUCAACAGCGUUGUCUUUCUGAAUACAACGUUAAAUGCUUGUUGCGACGUGAAUGCUUGUUGCGACGUGAAUGCUUGUUGCGACGUGAAUGCUUGUUGCGACGUGAAUACUUGUUGCGACGUGAAUGCUUGUUGCGACGUGAAUAAACUCUUUAUGCAAAACAAAAAGUUCGACUAGUUUGUGAUCCCAGGGGUAUCUUCAUCAGCGUUGUCUUUCUGAAUACAACGUUAAAUGCUUGUUGCGAGGUGAAUGCUUGUUGCGACGUGAAUGCUUGUUGCGACGUGAAUGCUUGUUGCGACGUGAAUGCUUGUUGCGACGUGAAUGCUUGUUGCGACGUGAAUGCUUGUUGCGACGUGAAUGCUUGUUGCGACGUGAAUGCUUGUUGCGACGUGAAUGCUUGUUGCGACGUGAAUGCUUGUUGCGACGUGAAUGCUUGUUGCGACGUGAAUGCUUGUUGAGACGUGAAUGCUUGUUGCGACGUGAAUGCUUGUUGCGACGUGAAUGCUUGUUGCGACGUGAAUGCUUGUUGCGACGUGAAUGCUUGUUGCGACGUGAAUGCUUGUUGAGACGUGAAUGCCUGUUGCCCCUGUGUCA